CCAAAAAUUGAUCCUCUCUCGCCUCUCUCCUAAUCUUUCUAUGGUUCUUGUGUUGUGGGUGUGAACCAUUAGAGGCUCGCACACAAAUAGAGCUUGUUUUCAAAGAUAAUUCUAGAUUGCUUUGUUGGAAUCAAAGAUUUGUUUACAAUAACAAAUAAAAGGUAUGCAAUUUUGUGAAUUUUGCUUUCCAUUAGGGUUUAGAAGAUUUGAUGUUCAAUAAUAUGUUGCUUAAAUAGUGUUAUGACAUAGAUCAAAGUAGGUUGCACGUACCCUUAAGAAUAUAAUGAUUUUUCCGUAUUAUUACAUGUAAAACCUAUCAAUAUCUUAUAUAAGUUAACAAUGACAAAAAUAUGAUUAAAGUCACCAGAUACAUUCCUCGUUUGAUAUGGUCCUCAAACAUAAGAUUUCAUGAAUAUAGCAUAUAAUAUCCUAAAAGGAAACCUAAUAUAACUUUUCAGAUGGUAAAAGUAAUAUGAUUAUUUGUUACAUGUUUUUUAUUCAUUUGGUGAUGAUAUUACUAGCUUAUUAAAAAAAUCUAUUAUCACAAUGUUUUUUCAAUCUUAUUCAUACAACAAGGAACAAUGCCCAAAUUAUUCAUAAAUAAAUUUCAUUAAAGUAUAUUUCUGGUAUACCCGAAAAUACCCAACCCGAAUCAUCAACCCGGAUACCCGAACUAUAAGACCCGAAUUGUAAAUAGUUUAGGUUUCGGUUCAUAUUAUUUUAUGAAAAAAGUCGAAUUACCCGAAGCUCGAAAAUUACCCAAUGAACAGACCUAAUUAGCAGUAGUGAUUAGUAGUAGAUAAUAAGCAAUAAAGAAAAGAUAAAACAAGGGAAAAUUAGUCCUAUGCUAAAAGCAUAACAUCUAAACGGUUAGAUUUUACAAUGCAGGGACCACAAGUGGUAACAAAACCCUCCAUAGGGAUCACCCAUGACAAAAAGCGAAUAGUAGGACCAAAAGCGCUAUUUUGGCAAAACCAUAGGGACCAAAAAAGUGUUUUACUCUAAAAUGAAUUAAAUAUAUAUUAAAUAACGGAAAUAUGACCAGAUCUCGUAUCAGAUGAAAACGAGGAAGUUCGAGUAAAGCGAAAGACGGAAGAAGGAGAAUUCAUGAAGUAAAUCUAUGAAUUGAAAAUCAUAGUACAGUCGUUUUAAGCAUAUGGCUUGUAAUAUUGAGGAGAAGUCAUUCUGGGUUGAACUGGGUGCCGAUUUAGUCGAGGUUUUCCGUAUCUCAGUUACUUGCUACAAUAUAAUUUCUUCCUUUAAUUUGAUAACAUCAAAAAGAUUGGGGUCCCACAUUGACACAAGCUCACCAGAUCUUUCAAUUGCCUCAGCUACUGCAUAAUUGCAGGUGAAAACAUUGCAAAUAGGCAUCUGGCGAAUGUCAAAGAUUUGGUGAUAGCUUCAAGAAUGCAAAAUCCAUUUUAAUUGGGAAGGUCAUUGAAGAUGCAUCAUUAUAUUCCAAACCAUGUUACAGGUCAUUUUUUUUUUAACUCUGAGUGGGUGAGUUUUUCUAUGUGAACCUUGUAAAAUUGAAAAACACCAUGUCUUGUAUACACCACACUUUAAUAAAAUAAUCAAAUAAACAAACCGAAUGUUUCCUGUAAUUUAGGGAACCCAAGUGUCAAAGAUAUAACAUAAACUUUGGGGGCUACUUUGUGGACUUUAAGAAUCAUAUGUGAGGUCUACCGUGAAACUAUUUAGAACUAUUAUGUACUAUUGGCCUGCUAACAUGUUCACAAAUUCGUGUAUCAUUUCCCACUUAAAUAUAUUGAAAUAAUAAUGUAGUUUUUUAAAUUCACAAGUUCCUGUAUCAUUCCUGACUUUAAUACAUAAAAAUAGCAAUAUAGUUUUAAAAUAAUGUGAUUCAGGAGAUUGUAAGUAUUAGAUUACACUUUGAAUAAGUUUUAAAAUAAAUAAAAUAUAUUUUAGGUAUUUCUGUAAAUCAUUAAAUUUCAAAAUCAAGUUUAUAAUCUUUAAUUAUGAUAAGUCUUAAAACCAUCAUAUAUAUUGUUUUUGUGGGCAAAUGCAUUUACGUGUGACAUGGGGAAUUGAUUUAGCCAAAAAUCACUUUCUUUGAUUGAGAGAAUUAAAAAGAAAAAUAGCCCAUGACCAAAUCAAUACAAUUUUGUGGAUACAAAUCAACAAUUGAUUUCCAUGUCUUGUUUUGGUCAAAGGAAAAGUAAAUAUAGAUAGACUAUAAGCAUGCAGUCUUGUCUUGUGGAUACAAGUUUUCAAUUGACUUCCAAGUCUCCCAUCACAAUAACUUGUUUCAUCACAUCACAUGCAUGGGCAACUUAGUCAUCAUAUUUGUAACUUAUAAAUUUUCUGUUAUAAAUUAAAAUUUUAUUUUCAUAAACACUCCACAAAAUGCAAUGUCAAGUCUUGUACCCUUCUCCAGCAUACUUUUAGGAACAAGCUAAAAAAUCAAAAAUUAAAAUACGUUUCCUUUCCUUGACACAUUAACAUUGUUACAUCAAAUAAUACUAAAAACAACUUGUUCUGUUGUAUCUAGUUUUUUAAUCGUUGAAACCAAAAAUCAUUUUUAUAAUAUAGA